AAGAAACUUGUCAAAGCCAUCAGCUUUGCCUGUCUCAAAUGACUGCCCCGAGACCUACGUGCAAGAGGUCCUUCCUGUAGGAACCCAGUGCACAAAGAAACCAGGAAGCCCCUUUCUGUCACCAUUGCUGCCCAGCUAAAAGUGUUUCUGUCAAGUUCACAUCCUCCCACCAAGCACCCACGGGUGGCAAUAUUCCAUUGCAUUCUGUCAGCUCCGCAAGUCUCUCUUCUACAACUGUUGCCUGCCUAUGGCACAGGCUCCAACCCAGAAAGUGCAGGAACACUAGCCGGCCCUGACCCUCAGCAGCAGUGGCAAGACAGCCUCUCCCACAGGGCUCUCAAGACCAGAGUCCUAGACUUCACUGCUUCACGGCGUUGAUAUCACAAACAGAUUGUAAGCCUGCCAAGAACAUGGUGCUCUCAGCCUUAAGAUGGAGACAGCAGUAAACCGAAGGUAUCGUUGUAAGAUGAAGCCAGAGCAAAUGGAUAAGCUCCUAUAGCACUGUGCCCGGUGCACAGUAAGUCUUCCUAAGUGUGAACAUUAUGUGGAAUGAUGAUUAUGAUGGUGGUGGUGAUGAUGAUGGUAAUGAUGGUGGUGAUGAUGAUAGUGGUAGUGGUCAUGGUCAUGGUGAUGGUGGUGGUGGUAAAUUCAGGCAUGCAGCUACCCCAACUCCUCCUACAGCACACAUCACAUCCAGCUAAAGCAGUGGUUCUCAGCCUUCCAUAAUGUCCCAUUAUGUCAACUCCUCAUGUCGUGGUGACCACCAACCAUAAAAUUAUUCUGUUGCUACUUAAUAACAGUAAUUUCACUACUGUUAUGAACUGGAAUAUCUGACAUGCAGGAUAUCUGAUAUCUAACCCCCAAAGGGGUCAUGACCCACAGGUUGAGAACUGCUGAUCUAGUGCUAAAGGGCUAAAGGACCAGCCUGAGGAAUGCGUCCUGUACUUUUGUGGUCAGCUGAACAGAAUUCAGUCGCCACAGCAGAUGCUAAAUGAGCUCCCAGUAAAGAAUCUAAGAACAUCCCCGUCUUCUCUCCUUCCUUCCCACCCAACACCAGAAUAGGUGGGUUUACAAAGUUUGUGACAGAUUAGAAUCGGUGAACUUAACUACUUGUUCUUAUAUUACGUCAUCAGGAUUAGUAGAUCUCUGUGAUCUAGGGGCUGGAACUUGGCCACACAUGGGAUAAGGAACUCCAGAAUUCAUUCAGCACAUGGAAUCGGUACUCUGUGAUGAAGAGAAUUUUUUGCUAGCUCUAAAAAGCUGUUUCUGAUGAGUCAUAAACCUGCUUGUGUAUUCUAACACAUUUGCUAGUGGUGAAAACUAAGCUGACAGUAAAUAUGGUGAUGGGGACAGUUUAAAAGUGCCCCCAGUCCUGAAUACCUCACAAGUUUCACCUUGGUCUUCAAAGCCACCCUGUGUGGGAGGGGCUCUCGAUGUCCCAUGUCAUAGACAAGGACCCACACGAAAGUGCUAUCUGCACCCCGGGAGCAGAGUCAGUGUAAUUAGCCAAUGGGGAACCCUCUCCAGGCACCUGGGCCUUCCUUGACCUCUGGCUAUGCUGUCCCCAGGAGGGAGUGCUCAGCUUUCAGAAAGUUUGUACACUGAAUAAAACAUGUCUGACUACUUAGUUUCUUUACUCAUUGCUGGAACCAAACACUUGACAAAGGCACCUUAGAGGAGAAGGGAUUGCUUUGGAUCACAGUUUGAAGAUAGAGCGUCCAUGGCUGUAGGAGCCGGAGGCAGCGGCUCACAGGGUGUCUGCAGUCAGGAAUCACAGAGAGAUGGAAGCUGGAGCUCGGCUCGAUUUCUCCUUUUUAUUCGGUCUGGGCCCCAGCCCACGGGAUAGUUAUGUUCAGUUGGGGUAGAUCUUUCCUGUCAAUGAACCCUGUCUGGAAACUUCCUCAUAGCAUGGCCAGAAGUUUGUCUCCUAUGUGAUUUUUACAGCUUGUCUCGUUGAUAAUGUUAACCACCACAUGGUUCAUCAGGCAAGUCACCCUGAACAAACCUACCUGCUGCAAUAUCAAACAGGUCUGACAGCUUCGGAAGAGGCCCUGUGCCCCCUCCAGAUUUGCAGGGGCUUAUGGUGGAGAGACCGGGAAGGCGCUGGCUUCAUGACGACAUAUAGAAACACGUGAUGGUGUCGGGAGAGGGUUGUGAUAAGGAAGCAUUGCUGAUAUAAAUUUAUAAGUUUCAAAAUGA
rnacentral:lncRNA from 1 species